CUUAGCAUAGGAUAUUCAGGCAUCUGAGGAGAUAUUUUCUUUAACCUUCUCAUCUCUCGUCCUGCUGUCCGCUGAAUCUGGAUAUUUUGAUUGAGUUCCUUUAGUUUGUUCUCCAGUUCUUGUAAUUCAUCAUCACCAUCAUCCACUCCUAGUUAUUGGAAUAUUAUGGUAUCAUGAGCAUUUGGAUAUAAGUGAAAAAUAUCUUCAAAAGCGGGAACGUAUUCUCCAGCCUCUCCUCAACACAGACGGAGUUCAGGACGCUCAGCUUCUCCGGGUAGGAACUUUUAACUACAGG